CAUGGUGCCUGUGUCCUUCAUAACUUGGGUCACAGCAGUUUCCAACAAGAAAGAGAACUGAAACAACCAGGGAAUUCCCUGGCAAGGAGAAGUCCUGCCCAGUCUGCAUCUUUCAGAAGCCAGGAGGAAUGCCCCAGGUUUGUGGGUAGGAGUAUGCAUACACAGUGCUGGUUGUUGGCUUUCCGGAGGCAGAUGGGAGCUGGAAGUCUCACGAAGGGAGAGUAAGAGCCCGAAGGAAAGCCGAUUCAUUACAAUGCUGGCUAAUACCCACAGGAACACUGAACUCCACUGUGUGGGAGCUUGAGGGGCCUGUGCUGCCCAUGCCGAGUGUCCACCAUCUCACACUGCUUCUAACACCUUCAAGCCAUCUCCUGAAUCUGGAAUAGUCAUCAUGAGCUGGAGGCUUCCUCAGAAGAACCCUAAAAUCAAGGGGGAUUCUGGUGCCAAGAAAAAUAGCCCAACCCAGCUUCACAGCUGUGAGCCUCCAAUGCGCCCCAGGAAGCUGCCAUCACCAUGGGUAGCGCGACCUGGCUUGAUUUUGCCAAAACAAAGGAAAAUUCCUCCAGCAAUUUCUGUGAAUUUGUUUUGCAAAACUGAAUUGUCUGCUUUUAAUUCCCCUAUACCAAUUAAAUAAAAAUUGGAAUUUAAAAUCCA